UGGGGAAUAUUGGACAAUGGGCGCAAGCCUGAUCCAGCCAUGCCGCGUGAGUGAUGAAGGCCUUAGGGUUGUAAAGCUCUUUUGUCCGGGAAGAUAAUGACUGUACCGGAAGAAUAAGCCCCGGCUAACUUCGUGCCAGCAGCCGCGGUAAUACGAAGGGGGCUAGCGUUGCUCGGAAUCACUGGGCGUAAAGGGCGCGUAGGCGGACUUUUAAGUCGGGGGUGAAAGCCCAGGGCUCAACCCUGGAAUUGCCUUCGAUACUGGGAGUCUUGAGUUCGGAAGAGGUUGGUGGAACUGCGAGUGUAGAGGUGAAAUUCGUAGAUAUUCGCAAGAACACCGGUGGCGAAGGCAGCCAACUGGUCCGAAACUGACGCUGAGGCGCGAAAGCGUGGGGAGCAAACAGG
rnacentral:rRNA from 1 species